UUAAGUUAUUAAGGGCGCAUGGUGGAUGCCUUGGCACUAGGAGCCGAUGAAGGACGGGACUAACACCGAUAUGCUUCGGGGAGCUGUAAGUAAGCUUUGAUCCGGAGAUUUCCGAAUGGGGGAACCCAACUUGUUAUGCAAGUUAUCACCUAAUGAAUAUAUAGUUAGGUUGAAGGUAGACGUUGUGAACUGAAACAUCUCAUUAGCAACAGGAAUAGAAAGAAAAAUCGAUACCGUCAGUAGCGGCGAGCGAAAUCGGUAGAGCCCAAACCAAAGUGCUUGCACUUUGGGGUUGUAGGACUGACAUUGUGGAGUUACAAAGUUAACAUUUAGCAGAAUCAGCUGGGAAGCUGAGCGAGACAGGGUGAUAGCCCCGUAUGCGAAAAGUGUUGACCUCCCGUCAGGAUCCUGAGUACGGCCGGACACGUGAAAUCCGGUCGGAAUCCGCGAGGACCAUCUCGCAAGGCUAAAUACUCCCUAGUGACCGAUAGUGAACCAGUACCGUGAGGGAAAGGUGAAAAGCACCCCGGAAGGGGAGUGAAAAAGUUCCUGAAACCAUGUGCCUACAAGAAGUUAGAGCCCGUUAAUGGGUGAUAGCGUGCCUUUUGUAGAAUGAACCGGCGAGUUACGAUACCAUGCAAGGUUAAGGUGGAAAGACCGGAGCCGUAGCGAAAGCGAGUCUGAAAUGGGCGAAUUAGUAUGUUGUUGUAGACCCGAAACCAGGUGACCUACCCAUGUCCAGGGUGAAGGUGCGGUAAAACGCACUGGAGGCCCGAACCCGUGCAUGUUGAAAAAUGCUGGGAUGAGGUGUGGGUAGCGGUGAAAUUCCAAUCGAACUUGGAGAUAGCUGGUUCUCUCCGAAAUAGCUUUAGGGCUAGCCUCGGAAUGUAGCGUGUUGGAGGUAGAGCACUGUUUUGGUGCGGGGCCCAUCUCGGGUUACCAAAUUAAGAUAAACUCCGAAUGCCAAUCACGUAUGUCCGGGAGUCAGACAGUGAGUGAUAAGAUCCAUUGUCGAAAGGGGAACAGCCCAGAUCGUCAGUUAAGGUCCCUAAGUGUGUGUUAAGUGGAAAAGGAUGUGGAGUUGCAUAGACAACUAGGAUGUUGGCUUAGAAGCAGCCACCAUUUAAAGAGUGCGUAAUAGCUCACUAGUCGAGUGAUUCUGCGCCGAAAAUGUACCGGGGCUAAACACACCACCGAAACUACGGGUGCCACGUAAGUGGCGCGAUAGGAGAGCGUUCUAAGGGCGAUGAAGUCAGACCGUGAGGACUGGUGGAGCGCUUAGAAGUGAGAAUGCCGGUAUGAGUAGCGAAAGACAGGUGAGAAUCCUGUCCACCGUAUGACUAAGGUUUCCUGGGGAAGGCUCGUCCUCCCAGGGUUAGUCGGGACCUAAGGCGAGGCCGAGAGGCGUAGUCGAUGGAUAACAGGUUGAGAUUCCUGUACCAGGUGAACAUGUUUGAACGAUGGAGGGACGCAGAAGGCUAACGGAUCCCAGCUGCUGGAUAUGCUGGGUUAAAUAAUAAGUCUUAGAUCGAGUUAAAUGCUUUAUCUUUUAAGGACAAGUUAUGAUGAGGACCGAAAUAAAGUAGGGAAGUCCGUGAUGUCACGCUGCCGAGAAAAGCUUCUAGUUAGUGUUUACCUGCCCGUACCGCAAACCGACACAGGUAGUCGAGGAGAGCAUCCUAAGGUGAGCGAGUGAACUCUCGUUAAGGAACUCGGCAAAAUGACCCCGUAACUUCGGGAGAAGGGGUGCUCAGCGAAAGCUGAGCCGCAGUGAAUAGGCCCAGGCGACUGUUUAUCAAAAACACAGGUUUCUGCAAAAUCGUAAGAUGACGUAUAGGGGCUGACGCCUGCCCGGUGCUGGAAGGUUAAAAGGAGUGCUUAGCUUCGGCGAAGGUACGAAUUGAAGCCCCAGUAAACGGCGGCCGUAACUAUAACGGUCCUAAGGUAGCGAAAUUCCUUGUCGGGUAAGUUCCG
rnacentral:rRNA from 1 species